rnacentral:rRNA from 1 species
GAUGAACGCUAGCGGCAGGCUUAAUACAUGCAAGUUGAGGGGCAGCAUGAUAUACGCGAGUAUAUUGAUGGCGACCGGCGGACGGGUGAGUAAUAGGUAGGAGACCUACCUCAUACAGGGGGAUAGCAUAGAGAAAUCUGUGGUAAUACCCCAUGAGGUUAUAUGAAUAGAGGCAUAUAAUCAAAGCAUAAGUGAUUAUGCGGUAUGAGAGGGGCCUACUGACCAUUAGCUAGUUGGUGAGGUAAGGGCUCACCAAGGCGAAGAUGGUUAGGGGUUUUGAGAGAGAGACCCCCCACAUUGGAACUGAGAGACGGUCCAGACUCCUACGGGAGGCAGCAGUAGGGAAUAUUGGGCAAUGGGCGAAAGCCUGACCCAGCCAUGCCGCGUGAAGGAAGACGGCCUUAUGGGUUGUAAACUUCUUUACUACGCGAAUAGAGGUUAGUACGAGAUACUAAUAGGAAGGUAGUGUAAGUAAAAGCAACCGGCUAACUCCGUGACC